rnacentral:rRNA from 1 species
UUUUAGUAAAUCUGCUCCAUGGUAAUAUAAAUAGCCGCAGAAUAUUAACUGUGCUAAGGUAGCAUAAUCAUUUACCUUUUAAUUAAAGGUCUGUAUGAAUGAUUUAACAUUUAAAUUACUCUUUUAUAAACAUACAUUUAACUUAAACUAAAAAUAAAAAUAUUUUUAUAAAAAAAAAAGACGAUAAGACCCUAUUGAACUUAACUCAUGUUAAGCUGGGGAAGCUAAUUAAAUAUAAUUUUAAUUAAUUUUAAUAAAUAAAUUUCUAAUAAAAUUAAUAAAACAAGUUACCAUAGGGAUAACAGCGUAAUAUAAUUUAAAAGCUCAUAUUAAAAAUUAAGCUUACGACCUCGAUGUUGAAUUAGAAAUCUUUAAACCGCAAUAGUUUUAAAAGAAGGUCUGUUCGACCUUUAAAUAUCUACAUGAUCUGAGUUCAAACCGGA